UUGAUUUCUAGACCAUUACUGAUGAGGUCUAUAUUACCCGUUUCAGCUUGGGGGCAUGCAAUCUUACAUGCAGGAACACUUAUAAGAAUGAUGCCGACAAACUAUCAUAGCUAUUCCCCAAUGCAGUUUAGCGCAUCCCCAUAAAGCGCCAUUGGAAUGGUAUCAAGCACAUUUUUCGUUACCUUCAGGGGACUCAUGACAUCGGUUUAUUUUAUUCGAGUGAAUCUCAAAAUGAAUUAAUUGGUUAUGCUGAUGCUGGUUAUUUGUCUGAUCCACACAAAGCAAAAUCUCAAACUGGCUAUUUAUUUACUUGUGGCGGAACCGCAAUCUCUUGGAGAUAUGCUAAACAGACGAUAACAGCUACUUCUUCAAACCAUGACUUGUUUACGAAGGCGCUACUGACUGCAACAUUCAACAAACUGGUUCAAUGAAUUAGAAUGCGUCGGAUGAAAGACAUCAAAUAAAAUUCAAAACAGGGGGAGCGCAUUAAUACAAGAAUGAUGUAUUCUUUUUCCUUCACUAUGAUUUUUUCCCACAGGAUUUUUUCAUAGUAAGAUUUUAAUUUUAAUGAGACACAUUCUUUGUAUAAAGGCUUCCAAGGAGAAGUAUUGUAUAAUGUAUGGCUGCCUUGUUGGUUAAUUUUCUAA